rnacentral:lncRNA from 1 species
AAUUUAUAAUUUUGACUAUAAAUGAAUAAAAGGGUUAUUCUACUAUCACAUUGUGUACAUUAUGUCUGUGAUACAUCCUUUGAGUUAGUAAGAAUGUUAAUUCAUAUUUUCAAGAGUUGAAAAUUUAAGGCAUGAAUUUACAUAACUAACUCAUAAACAGCUCCUGACCAUAGGAUCAUCACGAGGAUGGUGAUCGAUCCGAAAGGUUGGUGUACGAU